rnacentral:rRNA from 1 species
AACGAACGCUGGCGGCAGGCCUAACACAUGCAAGUCGAGCGAGGCCUUCGGGCUUAGCGGCGGACGGGUGAGUAACGCGUGGGAACGUGCCCUUUGGUACGGAAUAGCCCCGGGAAACUGGGAGUAAUACCGUAUGUGGUCGAGAGACGAAAGAUUUAUCGCCAAAGGAUCGGCCCGCGUUGGAUUAGGUAGUUGGUGGGGUAAUGGCCUACCAAGCCGACGAUCCAUAGCUGGUUUGAGAGGAUGAUCAGCCACACUGGGACUGAGACACGGCCCAGACUCCUACGGGAGGCAGCAGUGGGGAAUCUUAGACAAUGGGGGAAACCCUGAUCUAGCCAUGCCGCGUGAUCGAUGAAGGCCUUAGGGUUGUAAAGAUCUUUCAGUGGGGAAGAUAAUGACUGUACCCACAGAAGAAGCCCCGGCUAACUCCGUGCCAGCCGCCGCGGUAAUAC